rnacentral:rRNA from 1 species
GACGAACCGUGCGAACGUUGUUCGGAUUCACUGGGCUUAAAGGGCGCGUAGGCGGCCUUCUAAGUCGAACGUGAAAUCCCCGGGCUCAACCCGGGAACUGCGUCCGAUACUGGAAGGCUUGAAUCCGGGAGAGGGAUGCGGAAUUCCAGGUGUAGCGGUGAAAUGCGUAGAUAUCUGGAGGAACACCGGUGGCGAAGGCGGCAUCCUGGACCGGCAUUGACGCUGAGGCGCGAAAGCCAGGGGAGCAAACGGG